rnacentral:rRNA from 1 species
GACGAACGCUGGCGGCGUGCCUAAUACAUGCAAGUCGAACGAACUCUGGUAUUGAUUGGUGCUUGCAUCAUGAUUUACAUUUGAGUGAGUGGCGAACUGGUGAGUAACACGUGGGAAACCUGCCCAGAAGCGGGGGAUAACACCUGGAAACAGAUGCUAAUACCGCAUAACAACUUGGACCGCAUGGUCCGAGUUUGAAAGAUGGCUUCGGCUAUCACUUUUGGAUGGUCCCGCGGCGUAUUAGCUAGAUGGUGGGGUAACGGCUCACCAUGGCAAUGAUACGUAGCCGACCUGAGAGGGUAAUCGGCCACAUUGGGACUGAGACACGGCCCAAACUCCUACGGGAGGCAGCAGUAGGGAAUCUUCCACAAUGGACGAAAGUCUGAUGGAGCAACGCCGCGUGAGUGAAGAAGGGUUUCGGCUCGUAAAACUCUGUUGUUAAAGAAGAACAUAUCUGAGAGUAACUGUUCAGGUAUUGACGGUAUUUAACCAGAAAGCCACGGCUAACUACGUGCCAGCAGCCGCGGUAAUACGUAGGUGGCAAGCGUUGUCCGGAUUUAUUGGGCGUAAAGCGAGCGCAGGCGGUUUUUUAAGUCUGAUGUGAAAGCCUUCGGCUCAACCGAAGAAGUGCAUCGGAAACUGGGAAACUUGAGUGCAGAAGAGGACAGUGGAACUCCAUGUGUAGCGGUGAAAUGCGUAGAUAUAUGGAAGAACACCAGUGGCGAAGGCGGCUGUCUGGUCUGUAACUGACGCUGAGGCUCGAAAGUAUGGGUAGCAAACAGGAUUAGAUACCCUGGUAGUCCAUACCGUAAACGAUGAAUGCUAAGUGUUGGAGGGUUUCCGCCCUUCAGUGCUGCAGCUAACGCAUUAAGCAUUCCGCCUGGGGAGUACGGCCGCAAGGCUGAAACUCAAAGGAAUUGACGGGGGCCCGCACAAGCGGUGGAGCAUGUGGUUUAAUUCGAAGCUACGCGAAGAACCUUACCAGGUCUUGACAUACUAUGCAAAUCUAAGAGAUUAGACGUUCCCUUCGGGGACAUGGAUACAGGUGGUGCAUGGUUGUCGUCAGCUCGUGUCGUGAGAUGUUGGGUUAAGUCCCGCAACGAGCGCAACCCUUAUUAUCAGUUGCCAGCAUUAAGUUGGGCACUCUGGUGAGACUGCCGGUGACAAACCGGAGGAAGGUGGGGAUGACGUCAAAUCAUCAUGCCCCUUAUGACCUGGGCUACACACGUGCUACAAUGGAUGGUACAACGAGUUGCGAACUCGCGAGAGUAAGCUAAUCUCUUAAAGCCAUCCUCAGUUCGGAUUGUAGGCUGCAACUCGCCUACAUGAAGUCGGAAUCGCUAGUAAUCGCGGAUCAGCAUGCCGCGGUGAAUACGUUCCCGGGCCUUGUACACACCGCCCGUCACACCAUGAGAGUUUGUAACACCCAAAGUCGGUGGGGUAACCUUUUAGGAACCAGCCGCCUAAGGUGGGACAGAUGAUUAGGGUG